rnacentral:misc_RNA from 1 species
GAAAACCACAAGCGUAUUGCUCCACUUUUACGUUUUUUCUCUUCUCAAAGUGAAAAUGAGAUGAUCAGCUUGGAUGAAUAUGUUGAGAACAUGAAACCAGACCAGAAUGAUAUUUACUAUAUUGCUUCUGAUAGUGUGACGAGUGCAAGGAACACUCCUUUCCUGGAAAAACUUCUUGAGAAAGAUCUUGAAGUUCUGUUCUUAGUUGAUCCCAUUGACGAGGUUGCGGUCCAAAAUCUCAAAGCAUUUAAGGAGAAAAACUUCGUUGACAUUAGCAAAGAGGACCUAGAUUUAGGUGAUAAGAAUGAAGAUAAGGAAAAGGAGAUAAAACAGGAGUUUGGGCAAACAUGUGAUUGGAUAAAGAAACGGCUAGGGGACAAGGUUGCUAGUGUACAAAUCUCGAGUCGUUUGAGCAGUUCUCCUUGUGUUCUUGUAUCAGGAAAGUUUGGUUGGUCAGCUAAUAUGGAGAGGCUGAUGAAGGCCCAAACUGUUGGUGAUACCUCCAACCUGGAUUUCAUGAGGAGUAGAAGAGUCUUUGAAAUCAAUCCUGAACACCCUAUCAUUAGAACCUUAACUGAAGCCUGCAGGAGUACUCCAGAUGAUGAAGAGGCCUUGAGGGCCAUUGAUCUUUUGUACGAUGCUGCAUUGGUUUCUAGUGGAUUUACUCCUGAGAAUCCAGCACAACUGGGAGGGAAGAUAUAUGAAAUGAUGAACUUUGCCCUUGCUGGCAAGUGGGGAACUGUCCCCGAGUAUCAGCAACAAGCAAUCCAGCAGCCACACAUCCCAGAAACAGUCGAAGCAGAGAUCGUUGAGCCUGUUGAAGCUGGUGGACAGAAAUAAAAUCAAUAAUUUUCCUUUAGUUUGUAAUAUAUAAUAGUUGAGGCUUCUGAGAGAGAUAAUAUUGAGACCCUAUUGAUGAGCAGAUCAGUCUGAAGAAAAAGGCUACUUAUUAAGCAUUAUCAUUCCGUUGAAUUGAAAUCUAAAUAGAGCAGGAAUCUCGUUUAUUACUAUUCUAAUGGAGCUUCGUUUUUUUGGGGUUCUUAAUGGAGGUUCAAUUUCUUGGUGAUCUUUUGGAAAGCAAUUUCCUGUAUCAGACCUGUAAGAGCAACAUUCCAGCUUACAUUCA